UACGGGGGGGGCAAGCGUUGUUCGGAAUUACUGGGCGUAAAGGGCGUGUAGGCGGCCAACUAAGUCCGACGUGAAAUCCCAGGCUUAACCUGGGAACUGCGUCGGAUACUGGAUGGCUUGAAUCCGGGAGAGGGAUGCGGAAUUCCAGGUGUAGCGGUGAAAUGCGUAGAUAUCUGGAGGAACACCGGUGGCGAAGGCGGCAUCCUGGACCGGCAUUGACGCUGAGGCGCGAAAGCUAG
rnacentral:rRNA from 1 species